rnacentral:rRNA from 1 species
GGAGUAGGAAUACACAUUCCUAAACCCAAGAGCUCCCGCUCUAAUGAACAGAAAUUCUGACCAAUAAGAUCCGGCACACGCCGAUCAACGGACCGAGUUACCCUAGGGAUAACAGCGCAAUCCCCUUAAAGAGCCCUUAUCGACAAGGGGGUUUACGACCUCGAUGUUGGAUCAGGACAUCCUAAUGGUGCAGCCGCUAUUAAGGGGUCGUUUGUUCAACGAUUAAAGUCCUACGUGAUCUGAGUUC